UACGUAGGGUGCAAGCGUUGUCCGGAAUUAUUGGGCGUAAAGAGCUCGUAGGCGGUCUGUCGCGUCGGCUGUGAAACCCCGAGGCUCAACCUCGGGCCUGCAGUCGAUACGGGCAGACUAGAGUUCGGUAGGGGAGACUGGAAUUCCUGGUGUAGCGGUGAAAUGCGCAGAUAUCAGGAGGAACACCGGUGGCGAAGGCGGGUCUCUGGGCCGAAACUGACGCUGAGGAGCGAAAGCGUGGGGAGCGAACAGG
rnacentral:rRNA from 1 species